rnacentral:rRNA from 1 species
UACGUAGGAGGCGAGCGUUGUCCGGAGUUACUGGGCGUAAAGGGUGCGCAGGUGGCCGUGCGCGUGGGGAGUGAAAUCGCCUGGCUUAACUGGGCGGGGGCUUUCCAGACGGCGCGGCUUGAGCCACAGAGGGGGGCGUGGAAUUCCGGGUGGAGCGGUGAAAUGCGUAGAUAUCGUUUGGAACGCCAAUGGUGAAAACAACUUGCUGGGGGUGUGCUGACGCUGAGACACGAAAGCCAGGGGAGCAAACGGG